rnacentral:misc_RNA from 1 species
UUACCUGGGAUUGCUGAACUAAAGAAGAAAAGCACAAAACCAAAGAGACCCUCCAUCAAAUCCCUUUUUGAAGAUGACUCUGCUGCUGCUAAUCAACCUGUGCAAGGGAGCUUCCUAGGCCUCCUGCCUUCUAAAAUAGAAGAAGGUUCUGAGCUACCUAUUAGAUCCAAAUGAGCUGGACUAGCCUCUCAAUGACAUCAGAUGGUUACAGAUGUUGAAUUAAAGUCCAGCUGAAGAGGAUCAUGUUCUCUGGUGAGUAGGGCUUUUUGGUUUGCUGAUGCCCGCAGAUAUGUUUCCUGAAUGAAAAGUUUCAGGGGCAAAGGCUCCAAGGACAGAGUGGCUUCAGAUGCUAAUUGGCCGUUGGCCUAGUUUAACGUUCGUAACUUUGUAAAAUAAUUUCAUGGC